UCUGUGGCAGUCUCGAUCGAAAACAUAAAUAUCACAUUUUCUUUCUGUAAUCUGUGCUUGGCAAGAUGUGGAACUGUUUGAGAGUUUUUGUUUUGAUAGUGAUUUUAUGUAGUGUUGUCAAUGGUAGUGCUGUUACAUACGAAGAGUUUUUCAAGUUGAACUUCACAAAUGAUCCUAGACAUCCUUUACAAGCUAAUAUAAUCAAUGUUCGUUGCAAAAAAGGAUUUGUACGAAUUCGUGGUAGAUGUCGAGAGACGUUUCAGUGAACCUGCCAGUGUUUGGAAGAAUCACCAUUAAGAACAUCAUGGACGACAAGUAGUUUUCGAAUAUUAGAGUUAAGAAGAUUCAGUUAACCAACUAGCAGUGUAAGGAAAACUUCACACAUGUGAAUUUUCACAAUAUGAAAAUCUCAACUAGGACGUAUUUUGUUUCAUUGAAAAUAUUGUAUUUAGAUAUUAAAAGUAAUUAAAAUUCAUUUUUCUGUUCUUCUUUCGUACGAGUAUCAAAUAAGAGUAACUGGAAAUACAUGUAUUUAUCUUA